rnacentral:snRNA from 1 species
UUCGCUUCUCGGCCUUUUGCCUAAGGUCAAAGUUAGUUUCUGUUCUUAUCGAAUUACCCAUCGAUAGAGAUUCAGAAUCUUUUGAAUUGUAUUCCCCUUCAGACAACUUUU